GCCACGUGAGAAUACGACACACUUUCCCUGGAUAGCCAAGCUCAAACGAAAAUUGCUAACGUAGGCCUAACCGGAGAAAUAGAUGACGUUGUACCCAUAGUAACUAUACGGAUGUAUCCCAACCAAAAACCAUAGAUUACAGGCAAUAUCCGUGCUGGGCUAAAGGCUAGAGCUUCCGCUUACAGGGAACAGGACACGGACAUGGACACAAACAAGAAAGCCCACUACGACCUCCAAUGAGACAUCAAACAUGCAGACGAUAAUGGAUUACAAAGGGAAACCCGGCUGUGAGAUGGGUAGCGACGCAUAACUCAAAAACAAGCUAAAUGCCUUUUCAACACAAACACAUCAUAAAGUUUGCUGAUGAUACGACGUUGGUAGGCCUGAUCACCAACUGCGAUGAGACAGCCUACAGGGAGGAGGUCAGAGACUUGGGAGUGUUGUGGGACAACAACCUCUCCCUCAACAUCGAUCUAUCUGUUGCCUUUAACACCGUGAACCAUCAGAUCCUCCUCUCCACCCUCUCAGGGCUGGGCGUCUAAGGCUAUGCACACUCUUGGAUUGCAUCCUACCUGGCAGGCCGCUCCUACCAGGUGGCGACAUGCAUCUCUGUGUGCCUUGCAGAUAUCUCAGCUUGGAUGUCAGCCCACCACCUCAAGCUCAACCUCGACAAGACGGAACUACUCUUCCUCCCGGGAAAGGCCUGCCACCUCAAAGCCCUCUCCAUCCCGGUUGACAACUCCACAGUGUCACCCUCCCAAAGUGCAAAGAACCUUGGCGUGACCCUGGACAACACCCUGUCGUUCUCUGCAAACAUCAAAGCAGUGACCCGCUACUGCAGGUUCAUGCUCUACAACAUCCAUAGAGUACGACCCUACCUCACACAGGAAGUGGCGCAGGUCCUAAUCCAUAAAAAAAAAAAAACAUUUAAAAGGACAAAUCUGAGGGGGUACGUGCCCCUGUGCCCCCUAUGGGCAUGAAGCCUCUCUUACUCACUACAUGAGCUUGUGUGACUUUGCAAACACAAUCAACAGUAUGUUAAUUAAGAGACCAUCCUUGUCCAUCAGCGUUCAGUUUAUUUGAAGCAUUACUUAAUGAGGUCAAGAUCAACAAGACUACAUUCUCUGUCACAUAAGAAGUCAGUUUGUGCUUACGGUUUGUUUAUUUGUUUACAACACUGUUAUAGACACAUGAUACCCAUGAGGUAGUCUAUUUUUAAACGGAGCCUUAUGUGUGAAGCUGAGACCAACAGCCACUGAGAGUGAUAAGACAUUGAGGAAGACUAGAACUCGAAAACAUGAGGUAGAGAAAAAGGGUUUCCUCUGUACUAUUCUUUAUCUGCAGCUAGUGUUUGUUGAGUAAAGGUGCUGUACGGUCAUGCUGGGACAAGAGCCUUCCAAUCUAGAGACUGUUAUGCCUCAUGGUUGUGGGAGGAAUUGUAGGACAUUCUGUUUUACGACACAUUCUCGCUCUCUUGUUUAACUAAUCUUGUGGGGACACACAAUUAAUUCCCAUUCCAAAUCCUAAUUUCCCUAAGCCCUAACUCUAAAUCUAACCCUAAACCUAACCUUUAACCCUCAUUCUUACCUUAACCACAAACCCCCUAGAAAUAGCCUUUUUCCCUGUGGGGACUAACAAAAUGUCCCCAGUUGGUCAAAUUUGUGUUUGUUUACUAUUCUUGUGGGAACCUUUGGUCCCCACAAGUAUAGUUAAACACGUCCAUACACACACACACACACAUUUAUAAUGUUGAGAAAGUCACAAAUGUGUAGAAAGGAUAAUUGAACACUUCAUUUUAUUCAUUUUUUAAUUUGGCUCCAGUACAUUAUGGAUCUAGGGCAUUACAGCUAAGAGCCAGAGCAACAGCCUUUGAUUAAUAACCUGUUUUCUAUGCAGGACACUGAUACUUAUGCGGCCUCUUGUCAUACUCACAACGUAAGCAGCAACCACUCCCCCACGGUCAACUUUGUUACUCAAACAGCUCACCAUUCAAGAAGCACCCACAAUGUUUCCCAUUCAAUGUAUUCUGGAGCUCCAUGGGGACAACACUACAUUCAUAUGAAUGAGAGAUUAUGCUCUACUAUAUUUGAACUGAAUACAUUUAAGAACAAAAUAAAGAGUGAGAGAAACUUAAGACUGUAAUUCAAUCUGUACGGUUUGUUUGGAUGUAUUUGUAAUAACAAAACAGAACUGGUAUUUUGUGGUUUUCGUGAUGUUGUGCGAUUGACUGACAACGUCUUGUCUAGGGGAAAUGAGUAAGGGGAAAAGGCUAUGCUACUCUAGGUGUUUUUCUCUUCUUACCCAGUACCAAUACACUCUCACUCCUUCAUCCUCAC
rnacentral:lncRNA from 1 species